GACGAAGGGGGCUAGCGUUGUUCGGAAUUACUGGGCGUAAAGCGCGUGUAGGCGGUUAUCCAAGUCGGGUGUGAAAGCCUUGAGCUCAACUCAAGAAAUGCACUCGGUACUGGGUGACUAGAGGACCGGAGAGGAUAGUGGAAUUCCCAGUGUAGUGGUGAAAUACGUAGAGAUUGGGAAGAACACCAGUGGCGAAGGCGA
rnacentral:rRNA from 1 species